UACAGAGGUCUCAAGCGUUGUUCGGAUUCAUUGGGCGUAAAGGGUGCGUAGGCGGCGCGGUAAGUCGGGUGUGAAAUCUUGGAGCUUAACUCCGAAACUGCAUUCGAUACUGCCGUGCUUGAGGACUGGAGAGGAGACUGGAAUUUACGGUGUAGCGGUGAAAUGCGUAGAUAUCGUAAGGAAGACCAGUGGCGAAGGCGGGUCUCUGGACAGUUCCUGACGCUGAGGCACGAAGGCCCAGGGGGAGCAAACGGGGAUUA
rnacentral:rRNA from 1 species